rnacentral:rRNA from 1 species
UGGGGAAUAUUGCACAAUGGGGGAAACCCUGAUGCAGCGACGCCGCGUCAACGAAGAAGGUAUUCGUAUCGUAAAGUUCUGUCCUAUGGGAAGAUAAUGACAGUACCAUAGAAGAAAGCUCCGGCUAAAUACGUGCCAGCAGCCGCGGUAAUACGUAUGGAGCGAGCGUUGUCCGGAAUUAUUGGGCGUAAAGGGUACGCAGGCGGUUUAAUAAGUCGAAUGUUAAAGAUCGGGGCUCAACCCCGCAAAGCAUUGGAAACUGAUAAACUUGAGUAGUGGAGAGGAAAGUGGAAUUCCUAGUGUAGUGGUGAAAUACGUAGAUAUUAGGAGGAAUACCAGUAGCGAAGGCGACUUUCUGGACACAAACUGACGCUGAGGUACGAAAGCGUGGGGAGCAAACAGG